CUGGAGGUAUCAGAAGUGCGAAUGCUGACAUAAGUAACGAUAAAGCGGGUGAAAAGCCCGCUCGCCGGAAGACCAAGGGUUCCUGUCCAACGUUAAUCGGGGCAGGGUGAGUCGACCCCUAAGGCGAGGCCGAAAGGCGUAGUCGAUGGGAAACAGGUUAAUAUUCCUGUACUUGGUGUUACUGCGAAGGGGGGACGGAGAAGGCUAUGUUGGCCGGGCGACGGUUGUCCCGGUUUAAGCGUGUAGGCUGGUUUUCC
rnacentral:rRNA from 1 species